GAUUGUGAUUUUGUUUCAUCUUUACAAUAUGUAUAUACAUUGAAUAUGUAAGAUAUUGCAUGUUUAUUUUCUGGCCACAUAUGUAUUUAGGAUUCUUGGUCUUGGAAUCAUUUGUUGCAUCCCCACUACAUGUUCUCAUUUUGUGGGCUCUUUCAAGAUUAGAUGAUUGAAUCUGAUUAUUAUUUGAUUGAUGAAAUUGAUCUUUUUUUUAAAUAACAUAUUAUUUCUAUAUUAAUUUAGGAAAUUAUGUUUGUUCAGUCCCUAUAUAAAUUAUGUAUAUUUUGUGUUUAU
rnacentral:lncRNA from 1 species